GGUUAACAGUGCACAUGCAUGAGAUCGGCGUACCUUACGCUUGACUAGCAUUCAUAAGCGAGGAAAGGAACUAACAGGAUUCCCCUAGUAACUGCGAGUGAAGCGGGAAAAGCUCAAAUUUAAAAUCUGGCGGUCUUUGGCCGUCCGAGUUGUAAUCUAGAGAAGUAAUGCCCGUGCUGGACCGUGUAUAAGUCUCCUGGGAUGGGGCGUCAUAGAGGGUGAGAAUCCCGUCUUUGACACGGACUACCAGUGCAUUGUGGUAUGCUCUCAAAGAGUCGAGUUGUUUGGGAAUGCAGCUCAAAAUGGGUGGUAAAUUCCAUCUAAAGCUAAAUAUUGGCGAGAGACCGAUAGCGAACAAGUACCGUGAGGGAAAGAUGAAAAGAACUUUGGAAAGAGAGUUAAACAGUACGUGAAAUUGCUGAAAGGGAAACGCUUGAAGUCAGUCGCGUUGGCCAGGGAUCAGCCUUGCUUUUGCAUGGUGUACUUUCUGGUUGACGGGUCAGCAUCAAUUUUGACCGCUGGAAAAAGGCUUGGGGAAUGUGGCAGCAUUGGCUGUGUUAUAGCCCCUGGUCACAUACAGCGGUUGGGAUUGAGGAACUCAGCACGCCGCAAGGCCGGGUUUCGACCACGUUCGUGCUUAGGAUGCUGGCAUAAUGGCUUUAAGCGACCCGUCUUGAAACACGGACCAAGGAGUCUAACAUGCCUGCGAGUAUUUGGGUGGAAAACCCGAGUGCGCAAUGAAAGUGAAAGUUGAGAUCCCUGUCGUGGGGAGCAUCGACGCCCGGACCAGAACUUUUGCGACGGAUCCGCGGUGGAGCAUGUAUGUUGGGACCCGAAAGAUGGUGAACUAUGCCUGAAUAGGGUGAAGCCAGAGGAAACUCUGGUGGAGGCUCGUAGCGAUUCUGACGUGCAAAUCGAUCGUCAAAUUUGGGUAUAGGGGCGAAAGACUAUCGAACUCUAGUAGCUUGUCUGCCAGCCCCUCUCACGGGAAGAGUAGAAAAUUCCUACCGAUGUACAAGAUAGACACGUGUGAAGCAUGACAC
rnacentral:rRNA from 1 species